GGGGCCAUAGCUCAACUGGUAGAGCACCUCAAUGGCAUUGAGGAGGUUUGGGGUUCGAGACCCCAUGGCUCCA
rnacentral:tRNA from 1 species